GUCCACGCCCUAAACGAUGUCAACUGGUUGUUGGGAGGGUUUCUUCUCAGUAACGAAGCUAACGCGUGAAGUUGACCGCCUGGGGAGUACGGCCGCAAGGUUGAAACUCAAAGGAAUUGACGGGGCCCGCACAAGCAGUGGAGCAUGUGGUUUAAUUCGAUGCAACGCGAAGAACCUUACCUGGGUUUGAAAGGCUCUGUAAACCGGUGAAAGCCGGCUAGUGUAGCAAUACACACGGAGUACAGGUGCUGCAUGGCUGUCGU
rnacentral:rRNA from 1 species